GGGAGAGGAGAAGAGAAGAGAGAAGGGAGGAGGGAGAGAGCGAAAGAAGAAAAUGAGAGGGGAAACACAGCCAGACGAACGCUGGUGCUCCUUUUCCCUCCGCUGCUGUGAAACACUAAUGCGAGCUGGAGACGAGCAGAGCGGGGUAGGAGCUCGAGGGACCGGGGCGGAGGGGACGCCCUCGCUCCCACCAGCACGGGACAGGACAGGACAGGGCAGGGCAGGGCAGGACGGCCCGCUGCCCCGGGACGUCCUCUACACGCGCGGAGCAGGGGCUCGCGUACACUAAGGUGUGAUAAAGGGUAGCCCCCUAAAAGGCACUGGGGUCUAGACCCUGAGGUGAGCCAGUUCUUGCCCCUCUCCAUCGCUGCAUAGGAGGUUUUCAAAGACACAGAAGUCAAAACAACAUGUGUUGUGGACGUGGGAACAGCUGCAGACUUGAGACAAGUUAGGCGGAGGCGGGAAAGUGAGGUCUACCAACGAGAGCAAGCCCUGGGGCGUUCAGCCUCAGACACCGGCCCUCAACAGCACUGGCGCUUUACUCGCUUCAGAUGAAUAAACACGUACGAAAAGGUCAAAGGUCACCAAGGUUACAAUUUCACUCUGCUUCCAAACAAACUCUCCCCAGCUGCCAAGGUUUCCAGAAGGGGGUUAAGUGCCGAUGGCGGAGGCUGACCCGGCCCGGGAGGCAUGGGAAAGGAUCGGAGGAGGCGGGCUCGGCGACGUCACGACUACCCGAACCCUGGGGCGACGUGCAGACGUGCCCCGCCCCCCGAAUGGCUCCGGGCGAAAGCGAGUGUCAGUUCCACGGGGUCCAAGAGCCACGCAUGUGGAUCUCAUUUGGGCACAAGCAGGAGGUUAGGGGAAAGGGUCAGGGGAUCCACCUCCCUCUGCACCAAGCCCAAACUAGCGGAAAUGGCGUUUUCUGCUCUGCCACAGAGAAACGUCAAAAAGCGUACAAGUUGUUGUCAUCCAUUGCUUUUCACUGCAUGGAUACAUAGCAUAACUAAUUCACGUUAAUAUUUAUUAUGCCACCGACAAAUAUGUCUCUACACACGUCAGAUUUACACCGUAACAAGAUGAGUUACAAAAGCAGACAAUCUGUCAUUACUUUCUUCACUUGCGUGCUUUCUUCACUUCUUUCUAAAAAUGACAAAACCGUUUGUCUUACCGAUGUCUCAUAUAUGGUAAGUGCUCUAACACUAUUCUUAUCCAUUCAAUAAAUUGAAUAUAUGCUCAUUUCAACACACACAUGCACACCCCUCAUGGCCAACAGCCAUCAACAUGUUAGUAUGUCACUAUGUGUACUGAGCAAGCACGAAAAUAUUUAAAUGGAUUUUCAUUUGAGUUACAGCAGACAAGCUCACCCAUCACUCUUAAGUACUGAUUACACACUACUGAUGCUAUGGUCAACAGACUGUUUGUGUGCUAAAGUUCUCACUCAAUAAGAAGGGAAACAGCCUUCCUUCAAAAUGCUAAACCGAUGACAUCACCAGUCAACCAAUGACCAGGUAAGUCUGUACUGCACUAAUGAAAAUCUGAAUAGAAGAACUACUGCAAACCUGUAUUGAACAGAUUUUGAAUGUUUACACCACCAAGUCACCAUCUUUAAAAGCCUGGUUCAUAUACUAUUUCCAUUGUUUACUUUACGUUUACCCACUAACCAGUUCUGAGCCUAGCCUAUGUGGAUGUCUACUCAGAAACAGUGGGAAAGAAACAUUUUGGCUUCUUUACAGAUUGGAAAUGUUGCAAGAUUUGAUUUCACAGUAAAAUUUAGGCUGCCCAAUUCUAUUAUGAAGCAUAACAUAACCUAGAGGGACAAAAUCUUUCUCCAAAUUCUGGCUAGCAUGUUAGAGCCAAGUAUUAAUACCCAUAGAAUGGCACUUAAAACUAAAUCUUGUCCAAAAAAAAUUGAAAUAAAUUCAAAGUUAUUCAUUGGUUAACCCUGGCUAUAUGUUCUCCCUCACUAUAUUUUGAGAUAUAUAUAUAUAUAUACACAUUUAUUUUUACAUAAAUUUAUUUUCAUUAGAUCAGAGGUGUCCUGUCUUACCAGAAAAGGCUGGUUAAUUAUCUGAUCUCAGCAUCAUAGUGCUGGGCUAAAACAAAAACCUGCACCCAGACUGGCCCUAUUUGGAGGCCCUAAGACUGGACACCCCGUUAAAGACCAAACCAACAUUAAAAUGAGUUCAACACAGAUCAACAGAAACAUACUGUAAAUGCAUUGUACUGUAAUUGUGAUUUGGUUUCAUACACAACUUUAAAAUGCUAAAUAACAACAGGUGGGAGGUGUAAUAAAAGAGCGAAGGUACAACAACACCAUCUAAUUCACCUUGAGUUAAUUGGUUUCCAACCAUGCAUUUAAACAGGUCAUAGUUUACAUACACACCUUGCUAAGUAGCUACCUAUCUUGUUAAUUGACUAAAAUGGCUUAGCUACUGUUGCUAGGCAUUCAUGGAACUGUGAAAAAGCUGCAAAGCUAAUGUUUGCAAGCGUCACAUCUAAUUUAAAACGGCACAUAACUAAGUAUUCUAUAAACUGGUUGGCUAGUUGGCUAAAAAAGAAAUAAAGCUAGAUUUAGCUAGUCAGCCAGCAAACUCAUAAAAUCAAGUAAUUCCACUAAUGGUUCAUAGGUUGGAAUUACAUAGAGUAUUGAGACAUCCAGGCAUUUGUUGACAUAUGUGCAUCAUCAAGGGCUAAGUAAACUAUUUACUGUAAUGGGAAUUGGGAAACGUUUUUGCGGCUGUAAACAAAUAAAACUGAUGAGGCUUUU